AAGAGAUUAGGAAUAAUAAAAAAAUGAUAGGUGAGAACAUGUUUGUACGUUUGUUACACUUCUGAAAUUUAUUUAUUACUUUUUGU
rnacentral:ribozyme from 15 species